GAUGAACGCUGGCGGCGUGCCUAACACAUGCAAGUCGAGCGAACAGAUGAGGAGCUUGCUCCCCUGACGUUAGCGGCGGACGGGUGAGUAACACGUGGAUAACCUACCUCUAAGACUGGGAUAACAUCGGGAAACCGGAGCUAAUACCGGAUAAUAUAUCGAACCGCAUGGUUCAAUAGUGAAAGACGGUUUUGCUGUCACUUAUAGAUGGAUCCGCGCCGCAUUAGCUAGUUGGUAAGGUAACGGCUUACCAAGGCAACGAUGCGUAGCCGACCUGAGAGGGUGAUCGGCCACACUGGAACUGAGACACGGUCCAGACUCCUACGGGAGGCAGCAGUAGGGAAUCUUCCGCAAUGGGCGAAAGCCUGACGGAGCAACGCCGCGUGAGUGAUGAAGGUCUUCGGAUCGUAAAACUCUGUUGUUAGGAAAGAACAAAUGUGUAAGUAACUAUGCACGUCUUGACGGUACCUAAAGAAAAAGCCACGGCUAACUACGUG
rnacentral:rRNA from 1 species